rnacentral:rRNA from 1 species
GAUGAACGCUGGCGGCGUGCUUAACACAUGCAAGCCGAACGGAAAGGUCCUGCUUUUUUUGGGUGCUCGAGUGGCGAACGGGUGAGUAACACGUGAGCAACCUGCCCGCGACUUUGGGAUAACUUCAGGAAACUGGGGUUAAUACCGCAUAGGAGCUCCUGCUGCAUGGUGGGGGUGGGAAAGUCUCGGCGGUUGGGGAUUGACUCGCUGCUUAUCAGCUUGUUUGUGGGGUAGUGGCUUACCAAGGCCUUGACGGGUAGCCGGCCUGGGGGGGUGACCGGCCACAUGGGGACUAAGCUACGGCCCAGACGCCUACGGGAGGCAGCAGUGGUGGAUAUUGCACUAUGGGCGCAAGCCUGAUGCAGCAAAGCCGGGUGGGGGAUGACGGACUUGGGGUUGUCAACCGCUAACACCUGUGACGACGCGUAAGUGACGGUAACAGGUGAAGAAGCAACGGCUAACUACGUG